GGUAGACCAUUGGCAAAAGCGGCUCCUUUGAUAAUUCUAAGGUGUGUUAGCAUUUCUAUGGCGUUGAAUUGCAUCGGAUCGUUUUCACCGUAGCGCCAAAAAUCGCUGGUAUCGCGGCCACCAUUGUAUAACGCCUGUUGAACAGGCACUACAAUAUUAAUAUCAACAUAUAAAAAUGAAAUUAAAGAAACGAAUACUCUGUCAACUUCACACUUUAAUUUCAACAAUAAAUUAUUAUAUUAAGCUUUCAGAUUUCAACAAGGGCCAACGUAGUUGCUGGUAAUAAGAUAGGGCGCUGCUUAAUAUUCAAUAUAAAAAUUGAAUAUAGCGUUACCGUUGAUUGUUGGCGGAAUCCGUAUGCAAAACUUAAUGCAGCGCUAGCUGUGCUACCUGUGUGGUCCUGAAUAUAAAAACACUACUUUGCAGUAGUGUUCUAAAGGAA